rnacentral:rRNA from 1 species
UUCUAUGGCCAACCACCCUGAACACUCCCGACCCCGUCUGAUCUUGGAAGCUGACCAGGGUCGGGCCUGGUUAGUACUUAGAUGGGAGAAAAACAAAGAAUCUGAUUUAAAAA